rnacentral:tRNA from 1 species
GCGGAUGUGGCUCAGUGGUAGAGCAUCGGCUUCCCAAGCCGAGGAUUGCGGGUUCGAAUCCCGUCAUCCGCU